CCUACGGGUGGCAGCAGUGGGGAAUAUUGGACAAUGGGCGAAAGCCUGAUCCAGCCAUGCCGCGUGUGUGAAGAAGGCCUUCGGGUUGUAAAGCACUUUCAGUGGGGAAGAAAGCCUUGGGGCUAAUACCCUCGAGGAAGGACAUCACCCACAGAAGAAGCACCGGCUAACUCCGUGCCAGCAGCCGCGGUAAUACGGAGGGUGCGAGCGUUAAUCGGAAUUACUGGGCGUAAAGCGCGCGUAGGCGGUCUGAUAAGCCGGUUGUGAAAGCCCCGGGCUCAACCUGGGAACGGCAUCCGGAACUGUCAGGCUAGAGUGCAGGAGAGGAAGGUAGAAUUCCCCGUGUAGCGGUGAAAUGCGUAGAGAUCGGGAGGAAUACCGGUGGCGAAGGCGGCCUUCUGGAAUGACACUGACGCUGAGGUGCGAAAGCGUGGGUAGCAAACAGGAUUAGAUACCCGAGUAGUC
rnacentral:rRNA from 1 species